ACAAUUAAAAAACCUAGUUCAAUUCAUGUAACUUCAUCAGUUGAGUUUUAAAAAAAUACUUUUUUUAUUUGACAGGUAAAGUCAUAGACAGUGAGAGAGAGAGACAAAGGUCUUCCUUCCAUUGGUUCACUCCCCAAAUGGCCGCUAUGGCCAGCACUGCGCCGAUCAGAAGCCAGCAGCCAGAUGCUUCCUCCUGGUCUCCCAUGCGGGUGCAGGGCCCAAGCACUUGGGCCAUCCUCCACUGCCCUCCUGGGCCACAGCAGAGAGCUGGACUGAAAGAAGAGCAAUCAGGACUAGAACCCGGAGCCAUAUAGGAUGCUGGUGCCACAGGCGGAGGAUUAACCAAGUGAGCCACGGUGCUGGCCCCAUCAAUUCAUGUUUGUUACUAUGGCUCAAAGAGAAAAAAUACUUACUACAGAUGAGGUCCUUUUUUUUUAAUCAACAAUUCAACCUAUGAAAUUUCACUGUAAUAUGAACUAAGAAAAAAUGAACUUUUGGGACUACUGGUUUAUGCACUUGAGUGCUGGCACUAAAUUUUCAGUUUGUCUGCCUCACAAAUAAUAGGGAAGGAGACAGAAAACAAAUGAACUUGAAAUUUCAUGUGCUGAUUAACUCUCCACAUGGCUACAGCAUUUGGGUUGGGCUGAGGUUGAAGCUAAGCACUGGGAACUCAAUCCAGGUCUCCCAAGUAGGUGGCAGGAAUCCAACUGAGCUAUCACCUGGCUUCCUGGGGUCUGCAUUACCAGGAAGCUGACAUCAUGGGCUGGGGCUGACAUUCCAACCUAAGUACUCCAAUAUGGAAGGUGGACAUCUUUACUGGUGUCUUAAUUGCUAGGCCAAACACUCAUCCUAGCAUUACAUUUUCAAUAGAGAAAAAAGAUUCCCUUAUUUAACUGUAACAAAUUAAUGCAAAAAGUGCUUCAUAUCAGUAUACAUAUUUUUCCAUUUAAAAGAUGAGACCAAGCAUACAAAAAAGCUGAAUAUUGAAGGAGACCACAAUUAAAUAAUAAGAAACAGCAAAGGAGGGAGAUGGUAGAAGAAGAGAUGAAGUGGAUUGAAAUGUGUCUCAAGUUGUUGCCCAGAGACAAAGAAUGAUUUGUUACCUGAUGCCCACUGUACUACUGAGAACAGAGACAGGAAGCUAAUGUUCUACAAUUUUUUUCCUCUUUUUUUGUAACUGCAAAGAUGUAUGCUGAAGGCAGCAUGGAUGGACACAAACAUGAACGAGACUGGCCCUUGCUAUGGUAAGUUCAUAACCUAACAGGGACUAAGACUGGAGGUAGUGGUGGUCAUGGGGGUAAGCAAGUAUAUUAAUAAAUGUUAUAAUGCAGGAACAAAGUACUGGAGACACUCAGAGGUAUAUCAUUUUUAUGUAGUUCAGUGGCAGGGGUCUUUGCAUUUGAUUUGGGUUUUGAAUGAACAAGAUUUCAACAGAAGGGCCAUCUAGCAUGGUGCCUUGUACCUAGUAAAUAAUACUUACUGAACAGUUGAAACUGAUGGAGGAUUUAAAUGAAAAAAGGUAGAGUGAAAAAAGGCAGAAAUGUCAACAGUGAGUUAUAAUCUUAUGAUAAUCUAGUCAUGCCAUUUUUUUUGUGCUGUGUCUAAUUUUAACAUGAAAGUUAAUGAGUUUGAACAUGAUUUGAUAGAGAAAAUGUUCUUCAAGGUUCCAUUUGUAAAGGCGGUUGGUCCUCCUGCAUCUCCUCCCAAAACAUACACAUGGACUAUAAGCCUUGGACAAAUAAACCCAAGUAAAACUACCUGGAGGCACUGAAGAGAGGCCAAAAGAAGGUGGGUACUAGUGGUAAAAGUGUACAUCUGGAUGAAGGGAAUGCCUGAAUUUUCUAUUCUUUUCCUCAAGCUUUUAGCCUGAGGACAGGCAGUAGCAGUAACUGAAAUUUAGAGAGAAAGCUGUACUCUUACUGGCUUGAAAACCAAGAGAACAGAGAGGAUGGAAAUUGAAUGGAGAAAACCUAACAGUGGGAGCCCCAAAUAUUGUAAAUAAAUUCUGCCCAAAUCUGAUUUGUGGAGUGGAUUCAAAAUAGCUUCAAUAAAGAUUUGAGGAGCCUUCAUAGCUAGGCUGUUUCCACUGUUGGUUUGACUCCAUCUUUUGCAGGGGAGCGCAUGGGAAUUAGUUAUUAAACUCUGGCUGCAUGGCAGUAUUUCCAAUGACACUCCAAGUUCCUAAGCACGAUGGGUGGCUCCUGACCUCUGCUGAUAAUGGAAUGGCAAGGGAAUAGAUCUUCCACUGAUCUGUAUUGUCAAAAGCUAAUUUCAAAGCAGUCUUAUUUUUAACAUGCCUUACCCUUUUAUUGCCUCAGGAUCAUGUACUUAAGCAAAUAUUAGACAAGCCAAGUUAUGGGAGGAUAAGCGAAUAAGGAGUUUUUUACCAGACGGCCUAAGACAGUCACCCACAUGUCACCACUGUACACACUCAGAAUCCAGGGCUCCAGUUUCCUUAGUAAUUCUCAGUAUCAGUCAUUUAAAGGACUCCAUAAUCAACACCAAUCUCAGAGUUUCAAUAGCACCAAAGCCCACUGAAAGAGAUAAUAAUAGAAUCCUGGAGAGGAGGAAGCAAUGCAUCCUAGAGACAGAACAAGACAAGAUGGAUUCUUUCACAUUAUGGAUCAUCCCUCAGAGGAAGCUGGGAGCCAUACUUCACUCAGUUAAGGUGCCCUAAGGAAAAAGAACCUGCAAGAAAUGGUGUUACAUGGCAACUUGGAAGGCCGAGUCCUAGGCACCAAGAUUUUUAUAUCUGCUAACAGGCUUGUCUCCAACAUCUCUGAUAGGAAAGGGGAGCUCAAGGCAGACAAAGGUGUCAGCCAUGACAACCAGAGACUGAAGGACAAAAACCUUAUAUCUGUUUUAGGAAGGAAAGUCUCCUGUAUUUGGUCCCACCGUAAAGAAAACAAGGGUACCAACAAAGUAGCAAAUUUGAUUUCCUAGCAGCUGGCACAAUGAGGACUUUUAAGGUGAGCUUUAAUUUUAUCUAUAAAUAAAUAAGCAUACCUCAGUUUGAAGUCUAAGAAUCAUACUAGGUACUUAAGUUAAAAUAUUCUUCUGAUUCCUCUUGUAGACAGAUCAUUGUCAGAUUUAAGUAUUUCCUGUGUCUUCUGAACAGUGUUCCCAGUGUGUCAUUUAGUUUAUCUGUAAAAUCAAGGUGUAGCACCUAUUUUUCCAGUAGACACAGAUCGCAGGUAUGUGAAUCAAAGUACAGGCAGUGGUAGAGAUAUGAAAUUCCUCUGAACCUUUUUGUAUCUGCUGUUACUGCUCUGUUUCCCAAAGUAAAGCAUGGAAAGGUCAUGCGGAUGGCUCACUUUCCCCAUCUGACUCCACUGGGAAUUCCUCCCAGAUUCUGGCAGUUGUUUUCAGUCUUGGAUUACAAAGCUAUUAUUAGUUUUUACUUUUUUUAAAAUAGAUAUUAUAGUAACUGGGUAGAAGAGAAUGUUUCUUGAGCUGCUAGCUUUAUGGAACUGUAAAUGAAUCAUGACCUCUAUCUCCCUAGUAUUUAAUCAAGAGAUAACACAGCAUUUCCAGUGGUCUUAUCCCUUCCUAAAGAUUCAAACUUCCCUCUGACAAUAUUUCACUUUAGCCAAUAUUUCACUUUAUUUUUAACAUGUCUUUUGUAGAAUAGGUAUGCUGGAAAUAAAUUCUUAUAAUUUAUUCACCUUCAGUUUUGAAGGAUAAUUUAGCUGAUAUUGUAUUCUAGGUUGAACAUUUUUUUUUCCUAACAGUUUAUAGAUGUUCCACUCACUUCUGACUGCCAAAGUUUCUUUUUUCUUUUGCCAGUUUCUAAUGAAAAGUCCACAAUAAUGCAAAUGGUUGUUCUCCUACAUAUAAUGCAUUGUUUUACAACAUGACUGUUUUCUUCAUAUUCAUCCUGUUUGGGGUUCAUGAAAUUAUUGAAUCUAUAAAUUUAUAUCUUUGGAAAAAAACUUUAAAGGUUUUAAAUAAUUAUUUCUUCAAAUGUUUCUUCUAACCCAUUCCUUCUUUCUCCUAUUCCUAGGAUUCCAAUUAUGUUUUUAUUAUGCAUUUUGAUAGUUUUCCACAAGUCUCUUUAAAAAAUCUUUGGGGCUUGUGUUGUGGAGCAGCGCCUAUGACACCGGCAUCCCACAUGAGCACCAGUUUGAGUCUCGGUUGCUUCACUUCUGAUCUAGCUCCAAGAUAACACACCCAGGAAAGCAGUGGAAGAUGAAUCAAGUACUUGGGUCCCUGUCACCCAAUGGGAGACCUGAAUGCCGUUCCAGGCUCCUGCCUUCAGCCUUGUCUAGCCCUGCUAUUGUGGCCAUCUGGGGAGUGAACCAGUGGAUGGAAGAUCUGUCUUUCUAUUACUCUCUGUAAAUCUGUGUUUCAAAUAAAGAAAUUUUUUUAAAAAAAA